CAAGGUUGUGGAUGAACAGAGCUCAUUUUGACAUGUUCCUGAAAGUCCAGGGGCUGCCUCAACCUUUUUCUGCCUGAAAGUGCUUUGGAGUGUCAGAUGAUGACAUCUUUUCAAUUCGAUAAGCAUUUACCAUGUGGCAGGCACUGUGCUACUCCAUGGUCAUACAAAGACAGAAAUGAGGAAAAAGAAAACUGUCCCUGCCCUCAGGGAGCUUACACAAUAUCAGGGCAAACAAACAAGGAAAUGGAAAAUAGAGAGCCACGGAAGAUCCACAGUCAGACCAGUGCCUUAGGAAGAUAUUUUGACAGCCAUGUGGAAGAUGUAUUGGACACAGGAGAAACUAGAAGCAGUGAGAUCUAUGAGGAAGCUAUUGUUCCAGAUUCGCUCCACACGCUUGCAUAAGAUGACUUCUCCUGGCAGCUGUUUGGAUGGGAAGAGAGACAGAAAGCUCCCUUGCAGAGAGGCUGUCCCUGUCCUCUUUUGGCCCUUAGCAAGUGGCUGGCUGAUUGGAGGCAAGAUCAUCUGGCUCUAAUUCCACCCUCCCUCCCAACUCCUGGGCAAAUAGUCAUUUCAUCACCUCCCCAUCUACU